CUACGUGCCAGCAGCCGCGGUAAUACGUAGGGUGCGAGCGUUAAUCGGAAUUACUGGGCGUAAAGCGAGCGCAGACGGUUACUUAAGCAGGAUGUGAAAUCCCCGGGCUCAACCUGGGAACUGCGUUYUGAACUGGGUGACUAGAGUGUGUCAGAGGGAGGUAGAAUUCCACGUGUAGCAGUGAAAUGCGUAGAGAUGUGGAGGAAUACCGAUGGCGAAGGCAGCCUCCUGGGAUAACACUGACGUUCAUGCUCGAAAGCGUGGGGAGCAAACAGGAUUAGAUACCCUGGUAGUCCACGCUGUAAACGAUGUCGAUUUGGGGGUUGAGCUUUAAGUUUGGCGCCCGUAGCUAACGUGAUAAAUCGACCGCCUGGGGAGUACGGCCGCAAGGUUAAAACUCAAAUGAAUUGACGGGGGCCCGCACAAGCGGUGGAGCAUGUGGUUUAAUUCGAUGCAACGCGAAGAACCUUACCUACUCUUGACAUCCAGAGAACAUUC
rnacentral:rRNA from 1 species